GAAGGUUAGGUGUUUUGAUGAGAUUGAUGAAAAUUAUCGGAGUUUUGAGACAAUGGGUGGUGGAAAAGAGUGUGAUAUCCCUAUACCUUAAAAGACACUUACCAAUCGUUACUGUUCAUAGUUGAGUUCCACGUUUUCACACUUAACCUUUUGGAACUGGCUUGGCAAUUUCGAUGGGCCGGUAGUUACUGUUGAUGAGCCCAAAAGUUUUUUGUAUCAGUCAUUCAAUUUUUCAGACUUGAAACUCAUUUCACACGACUUUUUUCUUCAUCAUCUUGCAUAUUGUUGCAUAAACCAAAUUAUUAUACAUAUGUUUUCAUUCAUGUUUAGAAGAUCUUAAGCCGUUUGGAUCACUCGAAGAUUAAAUAUUCAUUUUAUGAAUUAUAUUUAUUUAACGAUUAAUUGAUUUAUCUAAGUUUAAUUCAUGCAUAAUUCUUUACGUAGGAAAUGAAAAGUUGGGUUUAGGAAAUAUUUUCUAAUGUAGAUGUUUCUUCCCAUGAUUUUUUUUUAUUUAAAGAAAAUUCCUAAUUUUUGUUAAGAGUUUUAGUUUAGUUCUCAAUCUAUUUGAUUGAGAUGAAGAAAGUAAGUGAAAUUAUGAAGGGGAAAUGAAAUCUUGGGAUUUAAGAAGGUUAGGUGUUUUGAUGGGAUUGAUGAAAAUUACCGGAGUUUUGAGACAAUGGGUGGUGAAAAAGAGAGUGUGAUAUUAAAAAUGGAGAAGUAGGUGUUGGAGCAAUGAAUCAAAAUGAUUUCUUUGUUAGGAAUGAGGUUUUUCAUAGUUUUGUAGUGGAUUCAUGUCUUCUUCAUGUGAAUGAUCAGAACAAAUGGGACUUUCAUUUUAAUGAUGGGAAAGAGGAAAGUAGGUUGGAUUUUGAUAAUAAUUUGCCUAGUGUGCCGAACUUUGAUAUGAAAGAUGGUGGAAUGGAAAGAAUCUAUCAAGGAUAUACACAACAACAACUUGUGAACAUUGAGAGGAGAGUGGAAAUUAUUGACAUUACGUCAAUGAGAGGAUGAUGAUGUGGAAAUAAUAGCUUAUAAAAAAGAUGAUAUCGGAAAGGGUAAGCAAAUUGAGGUUGGGAUGUUACGUGAUAGUACAGAAAAUUUGAACGUUGCUGUGGCAUACUCUUCUCAUUAUGUAGGAUUAGGUGUAUUUGUUCAAUAUGCGUGGAAGAUGCAUUUUGGAAGUACUUGAGGUUGUUUUGUAGUAUGAUUUUGGAGCAAAUGUAUACACAUUUUCUGUUUGUUAUAUAGAUGUUGAGACAACAUCUAUUUUUUAUAGCCUAAUUAUGGUAAAUCGAAAUAAACUAGAAUGCACUAUAUUACACCAUCUAGAAUCAUAAAAGUAAAGACUUAACCCCUUGUACCAUGGAAAUGUAACGCUUAAAAACAGUUCAAUUAGCAUGCUAUAGACCAAUUGAAUUUCGCACAUGAAUUCCAUGUAUGUGAAAUAUUUCCUAUUUUCGUAUGAUAAUUAUUGAGAGGUUGAGAGGGGGUGGUAUUGUCUGGUUAUUUUGAAGUAUGAGUGCUAACAGGUAAUGCCUUCUUUUUCGAGAGAUGCAUAGAGUAUAACUUGCAUGUGUGGUUAAAUCAAGUGAGGUCUGGUGCUGGUUGUGAUUAUUUAAUUUGCAUCCAAACUAAUGUUAGGAUGACAAAAAAAUACGCUCGAUAAAAUUCAAAGGGUUAGGUUGAAGAAAAUGAAAGCUAGGAGUUAGGGAUCAUUUCUGUUAAGUUUCUUUCUAUUUCCAAUCACUAGUCCUUAAUUUGUAUAUAGUGCCUUAACAUUAUUAUUUUAUACACACACACAAGAAAAAAAAGAGGAUUUAUCCAUAAUGACUCUUUUCAAUGUUCAUAUAAUUAAAAUUCAACAAAAAAAGAGAAAAUACCGAAUUACAAUUGCUUUUGCUUGUAUGGAUAUAUCAUCAAAGUUACAUCGCUAAUUUUUGUGGCAG
rnacentral:lncRNA from 1 species